rnacentral:rRNA from 1 species
AGCAGCCGCGGUAAUUCCAGCUCCAAUAGCGUAUAUUAAAGUUGUUGCAGUUAGAAAGCUCGUAGUUGAAUUUCGGGAUUGACGUGACGGUCAUGCCUUAAGGGGUAUGAACUGUUACUGUUGAUUUCUCACCUUCUGGAGAAACUUGAUGUCCUUUAUUGGGUGUCUUGCGGAUCCAGGACCCUUACCUUGAAAAAAUUGAGUGUUUAAAGCAGGCAUUUUUGCUCGAAUACAUUAGCAUGGAAUAAUAGAAUAGGACGGCAUGGUUCUAUUUUGUGGUUUCUAGGAUCACCGUAAUGAUUAAUAGGGAUAGUUGGGGGCAUUAGUAUUCAAUUGUCAGAGGUGAAAUUCUUGGAUUUAUUGAAGACUAACUACUGCGAAAGCAUUUGCCAAGGAUGUUUUCAUUAAUCAAGACGAAAGUUAGGGGAUCGAAGACGAUCAGAUACCGUCGUAGUCUUAACCAUAAACUAUGCCGACUAGGAAUCAGACGAUGUUAAUUUUUAAUGACUCGUUUGG